UUCGGUCAGAUGGCGAGUGGCGAACGGGUGCGUAACACGUAGAUACCUGCCUUGAGGCGGGGGACAACAGUUGGAAACAGCUGCUAAUACCCCAUGUGCUCUAAGGAGGAAAGGCUUCGGCCACCUUGGGAGGGGUCUGCGGUGGAUUAGCUAGUUGGUUAGGUAACGGCUGACCAAGGCGACGAUCCAUAGCUGGUCUGAGAGGAUGAUCAGCCACACUGGAACUGAGACACGGUCCAGACUCCUACGGGAGGCAGCGGUGGGGAAUAUUGCGCAAUGGGGGCAACCCUGACGCAGCGAUACCGCGUGAGUGACGAAGGUCUUCGGAUUGUAAAGCUCUUUCAGUAGGGACGAUAGUGACGGUACCUACAGAAGAAACUCCGGCUAACUCCGUGCCAGCAGCCGCGGUAAUACGGAGGGAGUAAGCGUUGUUCGGAAUUACUGGGCGUAAAGGGCGCGUAGGCUGUUGGAUAAG
rnacentral:rRNA from 1 species